rnacentral:lncRNA from 1 species
CAGCCACACGAUAGUAACAAGAAUUUGGACGCAAUAAUGAGAUACUGAAAGCCAGGGUUCUUGUAAACUGAAACAGGGUUCUUGGAAGCGUUGGCCAGGUUUUCCCUAGCAGAGACCAUGUUCUCUCCUCGACCUGCCGCUAGGUGGUGCUGCUGUUCUGGAUGCAUUCCAGUGGACAAGGCUUGGCACAUUUUUUGUUGGGGAACAUGUGCAUGUGUGGAGAUCAGAAGACAGCUUGAGAGUUGGUUCCUUCCUUUUGCUCUGUGGGUUCUCUGAGUCAAACCCAGGAGUUCUAGGGUUCUCUUGGCCCCAGCCCCACAGUUCCUGGUUGGUGCCCCUCCCACAGUGCCGUUAUUUAAAAUAGUGCUUCUUACCCUUGGAGGUAAUGUUAAUUGGAACGAGAUGCAGGACCGAGUGCUUCUCUAAGGAAAGAAGGGAGGACACGGCAGUGUUGACCUGCCCCGGAGUCCACCCUCCACCCUCACCUCAGCUCUGCUCCGCAUUCCUCCUGCUCCUGGGUCACCGCCAACCCCACCAAAACCCCAGGGCCCGCUCACUCUUGUGCUUCUGGGCAUGUCCAACCUGC